GACGAACGCUGGCGGCGUGCUUAACACAUGCAAGUCGAACGGAAAGGCCCUGCUUUUGUGGGGUGCUCGAGUGGCGAACGGGUGAGUAACACGUGAGUAACCUGCCCUUGACUUUGGGAUAACUUCAGGAAACUGGGGCUAAUACCGGAUAGGAGCUCCUGCUGCAUGGUGGGGGUUGGAAAGUUUCGGCGGUUGGAGAUGGACUCGCGGCUUAUCAGCUUGUUGGUGGGGUAGUGGCUUACCAAGGCUUUGACGGGUAGCCGGCCUGAGAGGGUGACCGACCACAUUGGGACUGAGAUACGGCCCAGACUCCUACGGGAGGCAGCAGUGGGGAAUAUUGCACAAUGGGCGGAAGCCUGAUGCAGCAACGCCGCGUGCGGGAUGACGGCCUUCGGGUUGUAAACCGCUUUCGCCUGUGACGAAGCGUGAGUGACGGUAAUGGGUAAAGAAGCACCGGCUAACUACGUG
rnacentral:rRNA from 1 species